rnacentral:rRNA from 1 species
UACGGGGGGAGCAAGCGUUGUUCGGAUUUACUGGGCGUAAAGGGCGCGUAGGCGGUCAGCACAAGUCAGUUGUGAAAUCUCCGGGCUUAACUCGGAAAGGUCAACUGAUACUGUGCGACUAGAGUGCGGAAGGGGCAACUGGAAUUCUCGGUGUAGCGGUGAAAUGCGUAGAUAUCGGGAGGAACACCUGUGGCGAAAGCGGCUCACUGGACCACAACUGACGCUGAGGCGCGAAAGCUAGGGGAGCAAACAGG